rnacentral:rRNA from 1 species
UUAAGUUAUUAAGGGCGCACGGUGGAUGCCUUGGCACUAGAAGCCGAUGAAGGACGUUACUAACGACGAUAUGCUUUGGGGAGCUGUAAGUAAGCUUUGAUCCAGAGAUUUCCGAAUGGGGAAACCCAGCAUGAGUUAUGUCAUGUUAUCGAUAUGUGAAUACAUAGCAUAUCAGAAGGCACACCCGGAGAACUGAAACAUCUUAGUACCCGGAGGAAGAGAAAGAAAAUUCGAUUCCCUUAGUAGCGGCGAGCGAAACGGGAAGAGCCCAAACCAACAAGCUUGCUUGUUGGGGUUGUAGGACACUCUAUACGGAGUUACAAAGGACGACAUUAGACGAAUCAUCUGGAAAGAUGAAUCAAAGAAGGUAAUAAUCCUGUAGUCGAAAAUGUUGUCUCUCUUGAGUGGAUCCUGAGUACGACGGAGCACGUGAAAUUCCGUUGGAAUCUGGGAGGACCAUCUCCUAAGGCUAAAUACUCUCUAGUGACCGAUAGUGAACCAGUACCGUGAGGGAAAGGUGAAAAGCACCCCGGAAGGGGAGUGAAAUAGAACCUGAAACCGUGUGCUUACAAGUAGUCAGAGCCCGUUAAUGGGUGAUGGCGUGCCUUUUGUAGAAUGAACCGGCGAGUUACGAUUUGAUGCAAGGUUAAGCAGUAAAUGUGGAGCCGUAGCGAAAGCGAGUCUGAAUAGGGCGUUUAGUAUUUGGUCGUAGACCCGAAACCAGGUGAUCUACCCUUGGUCAGGUUGAAGUUCAGGUAACACUGAAUGGAGGACCGAACCGACUUACGUUGAAAAGUGAGCGGAUGAACUGAGGGUAGCGGAGAAAUUCCAAUCGAACCUGGAGAUAGCUGGUUCUCUCCGAAAUAGCUUUAGGGCUAGCCUCAAGUGAUGAUUAUUGGAGGUAGAGCACUGUUUGGACGAGGGGCCCCUCUCGGGUUACCGAAUUCAGACAAACUCCGAAUGCCAAUUAAUUUAACUUGGGAGUCAGAACAUGGGUGAUAAGGUCCGUGUUCGAAAGGGAAACAGCCCAGACCACCAGCUAAGGUCCCAAAAUAUAUGUUAAGUGGAAAAGGAUGUGGCGUUGCCCAGACAACUAGGAUGUUGGCUUAGAAGCAGCCAUCAUUUAAAGAGUGCGUAAUAGCUCACUAGUCGAGUGACACUGCGCCGAAAAUGUACCGGGGCUAAACAUAUUACCGAAGCUGUGGAUUGUCCUUUGGACAAUGGUAGGAGAGCGUUCUAAGGGCGUUGAAGCAUGAUCGUAAGGACAUGUGGAGCGCUUAGAAGUGAGAAUGCCGGUGUGAGUAGCGAAAGACGGGUGAGAAUCCCGUCCACCGAUUGACUAAGGUUUCCAGAGGAAGGCUCGUCCGCUCUGGGUUAGUCGGGUCCUAAGCUGAGGCCGACAGGCGUAGGCGAUGGAUAACAGGUUGAUAUUCCUGUACCACCUAUAAUCGUUUUAAUCGAUGGGGGGACGCAGUAGGAUAGGCGAAGCGUGCGAUUGGAUUGCACGUCUAAGCAGUAAGGCUGAGUAUUAGGCAAAUCCGGUACUCAUUAAGGCUGAGCUGUGAUGGGGAGAAGACAUUGUGUCUUCGAGUCGUUGAUUUCACACUGCCGAGAAAAGCCUCUAGAUAGAAAAUAGGUGCCCGUACCGCAAACCGACACAGGUAGUCAAGAUGAGAAUUCUAAGGUGAGCGAGCGAACUCUCGUUAAGGAACUCGGCAAAAUGACCCCGUAACUUCGGGAGAAGGGGUGCUCUUUAGGGUUAACGCCCAGAAGAGCCGCAGUGAAUAGGCCCAAGCGACUGUUUAUCAAAAACACAGGUCUCUGCUAAACCGUAAGGUGAUGUAUAGGGGCUGACGCCUGCCCGGUGCUGGAAGGUUAAGAGGAGUGGUUAGCUUCUGCGAAGCUACGAAUCGAAGCCCCAGUAAACGGCGGCCGUAACUAUAACGGUCCUAAGGUAGCGAAAUUCCUUGUCGGGUAAGUU